AGAAAACAACAAAAUAUAAUUUGAUUGUGACAAAAUGGCUACUAAUAGUGCGUCAAAGUUUUUCUUUUGUAUUCUUUUCGUGGCUUUAUUUUUUAUUUCAGACGCAAGCAGUGUCAAUAGGAAGUUGGAAAUUUGCGAUCCAGGAAUAUCAUGUGAUACUGGAUUUUGUCGCGUUGUAUGCAUCAUACUUAAUCACUAUCAACGUUGGGACUGUAAUCCCAAAAGUGGUUGCUGCUGCCAUAGUGAUGGUUAACUCCACUGCUCUUCCCCUUAUGUUGGUUCAUAUACAUGUAUUUUGAAUGAACACAUCUUUUUAUGUACUUCCUGAUAAAAAUAAACAAGUGGAGGAUCAAUAAAAUAAAAAAUUAUUAAA